AUUGAACGCUGGCGGAAUGCUUUACACAUGCAAGUCGAACGGCAGCACGGACUUCGGUCUGGUGGCGAGUGGCGAACGGGUGAGUAAUGUAUCGGAACGUGCCCAGUCGUGGGGGAUAACGUAGUGAAAAUUACGCUAAUACCGCAUACGAUCUAUGGAUGAAAGCGGGGGAUCGCAAGACCUCGCGCGAUUGGAGCGGCCGAUAUCAGAUUAGGUAGUUGGUGGGGUAAAGGCCCACCAAGCCAACGAUCUGUAGCUGGUCUGAGAGGAGGGCAAGCAAAACGGGAACUGAGACACGGUCCAGACUCCUACGGGAGGCAGCAGUGGGGAAUUUUGGACAAUGGGCGAAUGCUUGAUCCAGCCAUUCCGCGUGCAGCGUGAAGGCCCUCGGGUUGUAAACUGCUUUUGUACAGAACGAAAAGGUUUCUACUAAUACUAGGAGCUCAUGACGGUACUGUAAGAAUAAGCACUGGCUAACUACGUGCCAGCCGCCGCCGUAA
rnacentral:rRNA from 1 species